AAAAAAAAAAAAAAAAGCAAGGAUAUUCAGACAUACUCCAACACGGAUAAACCUGGAGGACAUAAGGCUAUGUGAAAUGAGCCAGUCACAAAAGGACAGAUAGAUUUGACUCCACUUUUAUUAGGUCCUAGAACAGGCAAAUUCAUACAAGUAGAAUAAUGAUUAGACCAGGGGCUGAUGAGGGGAAGAACGGGGGAACUGGGUAUGGGGUUUUCGUUGCGGAAGAUGAAACGCUUCUGUAGGUGAGUGGUGGUGAUGCUUGCACAGUGUGAGUGCACUUUAAUGCCUCUGAACUUGAAGACCGUUAAUAAGGUAUAUUUGAGGGGGGCUGUCGGGUCGGUCUCUGCCCGCAGCUGUGGCNNNNNNNNNNNNNNNNNNNNNNNNNUAGUUGGCCAGAAUGGUCUCGGACCUCGUGAUCCGCCCGCCUUCGCCUCCCAAAGUGCUGGGAUUGCAGGCGUGAGCCACCGCACCCGGCCAGGACCUGGUUUCUUAACCGCUUCUGUGCGUCAGCAGUGACAAACUCCUGCCCUCCAGCUCAAUGUCAAGGGUGCUGCGGCCUCAUGCGUCUCUCUUGCCAGCUGACCUAACUCUGCUGCCAAGAAUCGACGGGAAUCCAGGGAGAAAAAGCUGGUGAGAACCCUCUGCAGGGGCCCCCAGGCCUUCGGUGUCUGCUUUUCUCAAUCUGCAUCUUAGUUCACAAGGCGACACUGUCGCCCUGUCUGGAAUUGAUUGGGGCUCCGUCCUGGGUUGAAUUGGUUGGAACUGGUGGUCUUAAGGAAGAGACCUCAUCCCUGUCUCAGUGCGCUGGACAGGGCUAGGCGCCUGCCACAAGAACAUUCUCCUUUUCUUUCCUUUUUAAAUUAAGAAAACCUGUUUGUAUUUGUUUGUAGACAGGGUCUCAUUCUGUCACCUAGGCUGGAGUGCAAUCAUGACUCACUGCAACCUCUGCCUCCCAGGUUCGUUAUUCUCCUGCCUCAGCCUCCAAAGUAGCUGGGACUACAGCUGCGUAUGACCGUGUCUAGCUAAUUUUUAUAUUUUUAGUAGAGACAGGUUUUGCCACGUUGGCCACACUGGUCGCAAACUCUUGACCUUGCGUGAUCCAACCACCUCAGCUUCCCAAAGUGCUGGCAUUGCAGGCACGAGCCACCGAGCCGAGCCUAAUUUUUUUUUUUUUU
rnacentral:lncRNA from 1 species